AUUCCAGCUCCAAGAGCGUAUAUUAAAGUUGUUGCAGUUAAAAAGCUCGUAGUUGGAUUUCUGGUCUAAUGCGCCUGGCCCGCUGCCGUUAGGUAUGUGAGUGCCGGUGCGCGUUUACCAUCCUUCCAGAGAACACUUCUACCAUUUAUUUGGACGGAUGUUGUCUUCUGGAUCUUUUACUUUGAAAAAAUUAGAGUGUUUAAAGCAGGCCUUUGCUGUGAAUACAUUAGCAUGGAAUAAUAAUCUAGGACUUCGGUUCUAUUUUGUUGGUUUCUAGUACUGAAGUAAUGAUUGAUAGGGAUAGUUGGGGGUGCUAGUAUUGGCCGGCCAGAGGUGAAAUUCUUGGAUUCGGUCAAGACUAACUUAUGCGAAAGCAUUCACCAAGGAUGUCUUCAUCG
rnacentral:rRNA from 1 species